rnacentral:snRNA from 1 species
AGACGUGCAGGCAAUCUGGCUGCAACAUUGAUUGUCACCCUAUUGAUUCUGCUUAUCUGGCUGGCUACAUGAGUGUUCCUUUCCUCUAUCACCACUCCAUGUGCAUCCCUCCCAAAGCUGCAUGCUUGGUUGAAGAGGAUGACCACCCCCAGUAGAGGAGGACAUUUUUCUCAGUCAAGGGUAUAUGAAACGUCGUGCUACCCUGCUAGCACUGCCAAACAAGCUCUCAAUAUACAGAAACAACAAAGGGGCAAAUUAGAAUGGGAAGGUUCUAUAUAUAGCCAUGUAAGUAUGUAUGCUUUAUUU